rnacentral:rRNA from 1 species
AUGGCGGCCGCCGCGAUAAGGGGCCAGAUCAACGUCCUCAUCGCCACCAUGUUCAACACGGGUCUGGUGGACGACGCUUUCUUGCAGCUGCAGAGGAUGCGGGAGCAGGGCCGCGAAACCCCGGCCCACGUCGUUGAGGUCAUGAACCGCUUCCUCAUCGACGCCGAGAGGAUCAUCAACGACAUCACCGGCCUGAUGAUAAACGAGCCCGAGGUGGACUUCGACAAGGUGGACGGCCUGGUGCAGCAGCUGAAGGUGACCUGCAGCAGUGUUGGUGCUAAGAGAUUGAACCUCUGCUGCGUGCAACACUUCAGUCCUGAGGCAAAAAACAAAGAAGGGUACCUCGAGGCACUGGGUCGUGUCAGGUUUCAGUUCUACGAUUUACGCAGCAUGUUCAAGAUCAUAAUGGAGCUGGAGCAGCAUCUUGUGGCAUGUGGUCCUAAGUAG